GAGGUAGUGACAAGAAAUAACAAUACGGGGCUUAAAGUCUUGUAAUUGGAAUGAUGGGAAUUUAAACCUCUUCCAGAGUAUCAAUUGGAGGGCAAGUCUGGUGCCAGCAGCCGCGGUAAUUCCAGCUCCAAUAGCGUAUAUUAAAAUUGUUGCAGUUAAAAAGCUCGUAGUUGAAUUUCUGCUGCAUUGCUUGUGUCCCUCCGGGGUCUGUGCAUGUGGCUUUUUUCG
rnacentral:rRNA from 1 species